CUCAACUACUCUACAACUUCUCACACCAAAUUAAGUUUCUCUCAGCAAAGUCCGGUCAACUACCAAUAUCAACGGCAAUAUAUGAAUCGAAGGUUUUCAUGAUUCUAGGUUUGUCUACAUUACCUUAAUUUCUCUUAGGAAAUAGUGUUGUUCUCAAUCCUGUUGUGGUUGCUUCAAAGUUACUUGAAAAGACUCCACAAAAUUUCCAAAAUAAUCUAAACUUCUCACAACAAAAUCAGUUUGUACGGCACUUUGACAUGGAAGAAUUGAAGAAACUCGCAAGAAAAAAUAGAAUAUGCAUACGGAACAAGAAACGACCAAAAUAUUCCUCGGAUAACAAUGAAGGAUGGGCUAGAUUUAAUAAUCCAGGGAGUGCUCCAAGCCGAGAUCUAGGGAGUGCUGCCAUGCUCCAUGCUUAGUCGAAGAAAGGAGCAGUUGAUGGGCUGGAUUAAUUUAUCCGGGGAGUGCUUUCCAUGCUCCAUGAUUUAUUGGGUGAGUUACAUGUAAGGCAAUGGUUCAAGAUACAUAAUCAUGGAGUGGAUCUUCAUUCCUUUUUGGCAAUGCUUGCUUCACCUGAAUCUGUAUAUAUUAAUAUAACAUUCAUCAAGACUUCUUUAUGGAUAUUUGAUCAUUAUUAAAAUUCUACACUUAACAAUCUCCCCCUUUUUGAUGAUGACAAUAAGCUAAAAAGAGUUUGACUAA